ensembl:lncRNA PCED1B-AS1 PCED1B antisense RNA 1
GUUUCUUGCUUUAGGAAGCGGAAGACUAAUGACCGAAGCUUCAAGACUUUGACAUGUGUGAAAACAUGAAAUGACCCUUGGCUCUUAUUGUUCUUGCUGGUGUGGUAUGUUCACGGCUGAAAAGAUGGUCAGAAGGGGAAAGGAGGAAGUGAGAAGAAAGAAACAGGGAAAUGACCCUGCAUGUGAUGGAUCAGCUGACACCAUCCAGAUCGGUAAACUGGUUCAUCUGAUCUUGUGCCCUCCACCCAGGAACUGACUCAGCGCAAGAAGACAGCUUCGACUCCUUGUGAUUUCAUCCCUAACCAAUCAGCACUCCUGGCUCACUGGCUUCCCCCAACCCACCAAAUUGUCCUUAAAAACUCUGCUCUCCAAACGCUGGGGGAGACUGAUUUGAGUAAUAAUAAAACCCUGGUCUCCUGCACA